rnacentral:rRNA from 1 species
GAUGAACGCUGGCGGCGUGCCUAAUACAUGCAAGUCGAGCGAACGGACGAGAAGCUUGCUUCUCUGAUGUUAGCGGCGGACGGGUGAGUAACACGUGGAUAACCUACCUAUAAGACUGGGAUAACUUCGGGAAACCGGAGCUAAUACCGGAUAAUAUUUUACACCGCAUGGUUCAAAAGUGAAAGACGGUCUUGCUGUCACUUAUAGAUGGAUCCGCGCUGCAUUAGCUAGUUGGUAAGGUAACGGCUUACCAAGGCAACGAUGCAUAGCCGACCUGAGAGGGUGAUCGGCCACACUGGAACUGAGACACGGCCCAGACUCCUACGGGAGGCAGCAGUAGGGAAUCUUCCGCAAUGGGCGAAAGCCUGACGGAGCAACGCCGCGUGAGUGAUGAAGGUCUUCGGAUCGUAAAACUCUGUUAUUAGGGAAGAACAUAUGUGUAAGUAACUGUGCACAUCUUGACGGUACCUAAUCAGAAAGCCACGGCUAACUACGUG